ACCUGGGUGGCUCAGUUGGUUAAGUGUCUGACUUCAGCUCAGGUCGUGAUCUCGCGGUUUGUGGGUUCGAGCCCCACGUCGGGCU
rnacentral:tRNA from 1 species